GUCUGUAACCAUGAUGGUGUUUUGUAGUUGUGUAAAAGACACUGAGCACACUGCUCUGCUCCCACCAAACUAAGCAGGGCUGCGCCCGGUCAGUAUCUGGAUGGGAGACCACAUGGGAAAGCUAGGAUGUUGCCGGAA
rnacentral:rRNA from 1 species